AGUGAACGCUGGCGGUAGGCCUAACACAUGCAAGUCGAACGGCAGCACAGUAAGAGCUUGCUCUUACGGGUGGCGAGUGGCGGACGGGUGAGGAAUACAUCGGAAUCUACUUUUUCGUGGGGGAUAACGUAGGGAAACUUACGCUAAUACCGCAUACGACCUACGGGUGAAAGCAGGGGACCUUCGGACCUUGCGCGAUUGAAUGAGCCGAUGUCGGAUUAGCUAGUUGGCGGGGUAAAGGCCCACCAAGGCGACGAUCCGUAGCUGGUCUGAGAGGAUGAUCAGCCACACUGGAACUGAGACACGGUCCAGACACCUACGGGAAGCAGCAGUGGGGAAUAUUGGACAAUGGGCGCAAGCCUGAUCCAGCCAUACCGCGUAGGUGAAGAAGGCCUUCGGGUUGUAAAGCCCUUUUGUUGGGAAAGAAAAGCAGCAGGUUAAUACCCCGCUGUUCUGACGGUACCCAAAGAAUAAGCACCGGCUAACUUCGUG
rnacentral:rRNA from 1 species